UACGGGGGGAGCAAGCGUUGUUCGGAUUUACUGGGCGUAAAGGGCGCGUAGGCGGUCAGCACAAGUCAGUUGUGAAAUCUCCGGGCUUAACCCGGAAAGGUCAACUGAUACUGUGCGACUAGAGUGCGGAAGGGGCAACUGGAAUUCUCGGUGUAGCGGUGAAAUGCGUAGAUAUCGAGAGGAACACCUGCGGCGAAGGCGGGUUGCUGGGCUGAUACUGACGCUGAUGCGCGAAAGCCAGGGGAGCGAACGGG
rnacentral:rRNA from 1 species